UACGUAGGUGGCAAGCGUUAUCCGGAAUUACUGGGUGUAAAGGGCGUGUAGGCGGUUAUGCAAGUUAGAUGUGAAAUCUCCCGGCUUAACUGGGAACGUGCAUCUGAAACUGCGUAACUAGAGGUAUAGAGAGGAAAGUGGAAUUCCUAGAGUAGCGGUAAAAUGCGUAGAUAUUAGGAGGAACACCAGUGGCGAAGGCGACUUUCUGGAUAUAACCUGACGCUAAGGCGCGAAAGCGUGGGGAGCAAACAGG
rnacentral:rRNA from 1 species